GAUGAAGAACGCAGCGAAAUGCGAUAAGUAAUGUGAAUUGCAGAAUUCAGUGAAUCAUCGAAUCUUUGAACGCACCUUGCGCCCCUUGGUAUUCCAUGGGGCAUGCCUGUUCGAGCGUCAUUUGUACCUUCAAGCUCUGCUUGGUGUUGGGUGUUUGUCUCGCCUCUGCGUGUAGACUCGCCUCAAAAUAAUUGGCAGCCGGCGUAUUGAUUUCGGAGCGCAGUACAUCUCGCGCUUUGCACUCAUAACGACGACGUCCAAAAGUACAUUUUUACACUCUUGACCUCGGAUCAGGUAGGGAUACCCGCUGAACUUAAGCAUAUCAAUAAGCGGAGGA
rnacentral:misc_RNA from 1 species